rnacentral:lncRNA from 1 species
UUAAUUUAACUUUGUUGUAAUCUUGAAGUUGUAUUAAAAAUAGGAAUGAAUUACGGUUUUCAAUGUAUUCAAGAAAUUGGGAUUGGGAUUAAUGAUUAUGGAUUGAUUUGUAUGUUAGAUGAUGAAUUGGAAUAUUAGAAAUGGUUGUCAUUUUGCUGUAGAAAGGAAUUAGUGUAUGUUGGUUUUAGGGAUGGAUGUAUUAAAUUGUAGAAAAAUGUGAACGUAUGUAUGUGGCAAUGUUUGGAAUUUGGUUGUAAAAUUAUGGAUGAAAUGAAUGAUAUGAAUGAAUGCUAUUGGCAAC